rnacentral:sRNA from 1 species
UGCCUAAACCCAGAGUAUUCUCUGGACAUGGCACCAAAACCGGUGAAGGUUAGAAAGCUCGUCGUCAGAGCGCCUUCACCGGUUAUCUCCCGAAAGGGAGGUAGGUAGCCGAAAGGCUAUC